AUGCAAACCAUAUUUAGUCAUGGAUCGCAAAAUGGCAGGAGAGGGUCAGCGCAACAAGAGUGGUCAGACCCUGGGGCUCAGCUGGGGUGCACAGGGUGGUCAGCUCCCAGGGCUCAGCUGGGGUGCACAGGGCAGCCAGACCCUGGAGCUCAGCCUGGGGUGCAGGGCAAUCAGCUCCGGGGCUCAGCCUGGGUACAAGGCGGCCAGACCCUGGCACUCAGCUGGGGUGCAGGGCUGUCAGCUCCCGGGGCUCAGCCUGUGGUGCAGGGCGGCCAGACCCCGGGGUGCAGCCUGGGGUGCAGGGUGGUCAGACCUCAGGGCUCAGCUGGGGCACAGGGUGGUCAGACCCCAGGGCUCAGCUGGGGUGCAGGGCAGCCAGCUCCCGGGGCAGGUGCAGGAGGCAGGUGGCCGCCUGAGGACCCACAGCUGUUGUGCAGCCCCCGCCCCCCGCAGCCACAGGGCAAGGCUCCGCUGGCUGCCGCCCCCCUGUGGCCCCACAACACACCUGGAGACGGGCCCUCCCCACCCCGCCGCUGUCAGAGCCACAGGGACUCCGACACCAGAGGCUCAACCCCAGCGCCCGGGCGCCGCCUGCCCCCUGACGGCCGCCGCACAGCGACACAGUCGGGGCGGGAGCCGCAGCCGCGCUCGGCAGCCCCCACCCUGGUGCAGGCGACGGCGUCCUGGGCACCCCGGCCGCGUCUCUGGGCCCUGCUGCAGCUGCGACGCUGCUGGCCCGGCGCCCCUGCCCCCGCCUCCUGUCGCCUGUCGGGGCUUUCCACCCCAGCCCCGGCAGCAGGGGCCACAGCCGUCUCGACGCAGGACGUUCCUUCGGGGAUCUCCGAUUGCCGCUGGCCUGCGGGGGGCGGGGGGCCUGGGCGGCUGCCACUUACCCCGACGGCGGCGCUGGCUGGGCUGGGCGGCGGGUGCGCGGGCGGCCGGGCCCCGGGGUUAUAUAGCCCCUUGGCCGGCCUCCCUCCCACUGGCUUCCCAAACAAGGAGCAGAGGCGCUCGGGCGCGGCCAGGCCAACACGACCAUAUAGGGGCCUCGGCACGAAAGCCUCCUCUCUGCGGGGCCGGGUCUGGGCUCUUCCACCGCAUUCCACUGCUGGCUGCCGGCGCCCGGGGACCAGGGCCCGGGCCUCCAGAGCCGCCGCCGAGGGCCCAGGGCCACGAGCUGGUGCGGGGGCACACGCGGCCCGGGGCGUCCUCAGGGCCCAGCCACCUCCCCCCGCGGCGGCUGUGCCCCCGACAGGCACACGGUGCCCACGGCUCCUAAACACGCUGACGGCGGGCUGUGAUUUCACGGUGCCCAGCCCCGGGGCGCGAGGGGCCCGGCCAUCCACGCGCAGACACGGCCGAGGCCCGGCUCCAGCAGCGCCCACGCCGCCCUGUCACGAGGCAGCUCCGGGCCUCUGCCCCCCGACCCCCCGGUGCCCACGCGGGCCCCGGCCACGCUGCCCGGGUGCUUGCGAGCGCCGCCACGCCGGGACACUCCAGGGUGACCGGGCCCUCGAUGGCCGCGACCCCUGUCCACCGCGUGCUGGCCCACAAGUGGGGCGCGAGCCUCCCCCUCUGCCUCGUCCCUGUCACCAGCACGCACACGGCCCGGGUGUUGAGGCAGGAGGGCCGCACGGCACAACGCGCACACGGAGCGUCCGUAAGAGCAAAUGGAAACAUGUAUGA
rnacentral:lncRNA from 1 species